rnacentral:lncRNA from 1 species
GGGAGGCGGGAGGCUGGAUGCCAUGGCUUAAGGAGAAGACCGGCAUCACAGGCCGGCGGUGGCGGACCGUGCUCUUUGGCCGCAAGACCGUGAAGAAGUUCCUAAAGACUGAGGUGAGCCAGUGCUCUGCACACGAUCUGAUAAUGUCCACCCCAUUCUUGGGUGCUCACAUCCUUGAGGAGCAAUCACUUUUUGUGAUGGAGUUGUGAUGUGUUGUUGCUUUGUGAAUACGAGCGCCUGUCAUGUCAUCUGGAAGUUUUUGGUCACUUGUGCUGCAAUGCUUUGUGAAAAUUGAGCGCCUGUCACGUCAUCUGGAAGUUUUUGCACAUGUGCUGCAGAUGUUGGGGAAUGUAAAGCGAGUGAAUUGUUGCUGUGCAGUGCGGGGACCUGGUGCAAACGUACGUACCGCUGAUAAGGGAUGAGCUGCACUGGUGGCAGGAGAAGGGCAUCACAAAAGACCUGCUUGACCGCUCAACUGAUGCCAAGGUGUGCAGGCCCUACGUGUGAUCUUGCGGUCAAAGUGACCAAUGGUGUCUCGAUAGAGCUUUCCUGGGCCUCCAAUGAUUACACAUAAUGAUGCCAUAUGGAGUGUUGGCAUGGUAGGACCACAUGUGAAUAUCAGAGAGUAAACAGACGUUCGCGCUGGUCUGUCCAGGUGAUUCUGUACCAGGGCAAGGUGUAUCUGAGCCAUGGAUCGGAGCGGGCGCGGCUGGUACCCACAUACCACUCCCUCAUACAGCGCGUCAGGCUGCGAGUGAAGUUGCCGGACAUGGUCAUCCCGCUGAACCCAGG